GUUACUCUCCUGACAGACGUCUCUCCAGGAUUGAAACAGAACUGCAGUGUGAUGGCGCUGCAGCAGAGAGAGAAAGAUCUGGGUGACCAUCUGAAACCAAUUAUGGCGGCGCUGCAGCCACCCAGAAACUCAGUGACGGAUGGGGAUCUUGUAUUUAUAGCUGGGGCGUCACUCGGGCCAGCUGAAACCCCAGAACUCCAUGUGAACCUGCUGAAAGGGAGGUGGCGUCCGGCCUGGAUAAACACAGUGUGAAGGGGAGCCGGGGACACAGCCUGUUGGUCCUAAAUGUGGAGGAAAAAUGUCCAGUAACUGGGCCUGUGGGGAACGAGCAGGGCCAAGGCUAACCCUAACAUAGGCUCACUGGGAGCAUGCAUAAGAGUAAAGUUGGAUCCAUGCUUCUCUGACCGACGUAUAGGUAACAGACAGGAUUUGGACCUGGGUCUUGCAAACAGGAAAUCAAUUUCCAGGGAGCUGUAUCCCCUUUGCAAGGCUGCAAAGUUUAAUUCACUUCUAAAUCAACCUACCAAGAAGCUGUGUUUGAAAAUAAAAGUUGAAAAUAACCGUAAAAUUGCUGCAAUAACCUAUAAGGAAGUGAUUUGCGAUUGAGUGGAUGUUAUCGUUAAAUGAAGUGCAGUUUUAAAUUACAUGUUAAACUGAGUAAACUGAGAGCAAAUUGACCUCAACUCUACAAGGGAAACAUUUGAGCUUUACAUGGACAUGCACUGCUACUUAUGUAUCCACCCUUCGUCCUGUACAUUCACCCCUCUGAAGAGGAAUGGAUAUCGCCCUUCAUGCUUUUUACCUCAUUGACUCUUUGUUCCCCCUUCAACUUUGACCGCUGAAAGGUUUAAGCACAGUCCAGGCAAGCAGCAGGGGUUCAUGGAAAUAAAACCCUUUUGAACUUGUUCUGGUUCAACUCCAUGGCCACUUGUUCUACGUCCCUCCCCAGUGCUACCUCACAACCUCCGGGAAGCAGUUAAUGCUUUAAUUGGCACUUAAUUAGUUAAUUAACCCCAGAGUUGUUGGGAGGGGAGGGGGGUAACAGGGUGAUGAGGGCUUGAGGGCGCAGGUGAGGGUGGAGAGGAUUGGCCCAAGGUGCUUCCUGUGUCACAUCACCAGCGGAGGUACCCAUCAACCCCUUUGAACUGGGACACAAACACUGGAAACACUUUCAUCGGGCCGAUGUCAUCACAGCCGGGUCCCAUGUAUAUGUAUGGGACUGUCUGAAAAUAUACAAAGUCCAAUUUGCCCGGGACAGACCAACCUCAGGAUAAUGAAUCACAUGUGAUGUGUAUCUGAUAUGCAGCCUGAGUCAUCACCAGAUGUUUUGACAGGAUUACUUCCAGUUCUGGAAAAGAACAGUGGAUUUUCAAAGAGAAACCAACAACGCUCCAUCAAGUGAGACAAAGGAAAGAAGUCAACAAACAUUUGCUGCCACGAUGAGUAAAACAUAAAAGUUUAUAAAUAUUCUGUACUGGAAUGCCCUCAGUUCCUCUGGAAGGCAGACCAAAGUGUUUCUCAUGUCUAUAAUUGGGGGUACACAUGCCAAAUGAGAGGAGUUUUGAGGUCAAGUACAGAAGAGGAAGUAACUUGGGCACCAGGCCUUCAGAUAAAAGCUUACAGGUGGAACUAAGUACAGUCCUACAUAUGUAGGCAAGCUGUGGCGCUUGUUUGUUCUGGUGUCUAUUUGUAUGCGGAAAAUGCAGCUCCCAGCGCAUAAUGUGUUUGCUCAGUCGAAGUAUAGCAUGUACUCUGGAUAGCAUUCCCUGUCUCUUUCACUUGGCAAAAACACAUGAACCUGUGUGAAUUUGUGAACCCAUGUGCAAACCUCAAAACACUGACAUACCCACACAAACGCGGAGAAACACACAUACACGUCUCUUGUUCUUUCUCACAUAUGCUUGUUGUUUCACUCGCAACUUACUUCAGGUCUCAUCCUGCUUGCUGUUUCCUUGGAAAUUAAUAACCUAGAAUAAAUUUUUUUCUUGG